CCCAACGAGGCGGAACGGUGGUGCAGAAACGAUCAUCCUCAUUUUAAAGCUGACGUUCUGGGGAUGACCUUGAGCCUUCAGGAGCGACAUGGGGACUCUCUGGAGGCUGAGUGUCCUCUGCAGUGCUGGAGGAGGGCGAGCUCUGUUCCUCUAAAUCCCAGUGGUCAGACUGGCUCAGGUCUCAGCAUUUCUCCAGGACCGACCUACCCCAGGAUGGUGUGGAAUACAGCACAUUCACCUGUCACCCAACCACCAUUCUGCUUCCAAGGCUGCAUCUCUCCACUGGAUUGGAAGAAGAGCCUGGAGAGUUUCUGAAUAUAGAGAAGUUCCAUGUAGGGAAGAGGUCCCUUUAUAGAUAUUUCAAAUUGUUACAGAUUCUAAACUGAGACUUAAUCCUCAAAUGUGUUUGUUUUACUGGUCCUAAAAUAAUCUGUCCACAAAUAUAAAAUUAUAAGUAGUAAGUUGUUGUUUUCCCACUGUGGGAAUCUCUAAUGUGAAAAUGUACUCUAUGAAGGAAAAGUUUUUUAAAAAUCAAAUGCUGUAUAAUAAAAAGUAAAUAAAUAAGGCAAGCUGA